AACUAACUGAGAAGAAGAGAUAGAUGUCAUCCUAAAGCUGUUCAUACAACAUCAGAAUCAAGGAGUCAAGUCUAGACCAUGAGGUAUUCCACCUGAUGAAUUCAAACAGAUCCAAAAAUAAUGUUCUACUAGUGCGAAAGUACCAGUUAUAGCCCACGGAUUGACGCAGUUUGAAGAGAGGUUUCUUUUUCUAAUGGAGAACAGAAAAUCUGAAUGGCUUCAUUCAACUUCCGACACGGACUAAAAUGACAGACUGUCUUGGAUUGGACACAGUCUCGUUCCCCCUCAGGCUCUGGUUGGCUAACUUUACUAUAAGGACACUUAUUGGAUAUGGUUUCUAACAACUCUAUCUUGCAAUUUUUGACCAGAGAAUCCUGCAUGUAAGAGCCCUGUUUAUUUUUUCUAACUCCAGAUACACACCACAAGUUGAAAUGGUUAAAGAAAAUACAUUAGACAAAGAAGAACAAUGUGAAUUUGUGAGUUUAUCACUGCUCCACAUGCAGUAUUGCUCAAGACCCACCCUGCUUCAGUCUUUGUACAGUCAAAAGUGUCACCCACUAUGACAGACCUAAAAGAAAACAUUGUUGCUACUCUAGAUUAAUUGAACAUAUUAAGAAUUGCCCAGGAAUAAAUUUGACAGUAAUAUGGUAGGUCAAGAGUAUACUCAAAUAAGCUUGUGCUGACAUUGCUCUCAAACAAUGUGAAAGAGCCCACCACUGCACUUUGGACAAAGUUUGUAAAUAUUUGCCCUACCACACACACACACACACAGUGUUCACCUGUAACAACGUAAAGAUUACUUGUCAGCCUAUGAGGGAUUUCUCUGAUCUUUAUUAGCCAGUGUACCUUAUUGAUGCCAUUGGGUUUCUUUCUGCAAUGAUGGUGUCUGUCAGCUAAUCCCAGCAAAGGUCAACCAGACAGUUCAGUUAGGUCCAAAUGCCUCAGUUAAAGUGAAUGGAAAAUAUAUGAUUUUAUUUGGUGCUUAUCCAUCUAUUUUCUGGGGGGAAUGUAGCUGGAUCUACGCAAACAUUGGAAUCAUAAUAAGACUACUUUUGAGGUCUGCAAACGUUAUGAUUUCGAAGUGGACUGUCCCUUUAAAGACAGCAUUGUAUAUUUGUGAAUGUUACCCUUUUCUUGGAAUAUGUAUUCCAUGUAAUGUUUACAGGAGACUAAUCAUAUAAAAGAACCAAAUGUUGCUUGACUGCUAGCUUCCCGCCAGCUUCUAGAUUUGGGUCUGCGGGGAAAGACUGAGA